rnacentral:rRNA from 1 species
UACGAGGGGGGCAAGCGUUGUUCGGAAUUAUUGGGCGUAAAGGGCGCGCAGGCGGCGCCACAAGUCACUUGUGAAAACUCUGGGCUCAACUCAGAGCCUGCACGCGAGACUGUGGUGCUGGAGUAUGGGAGAGGUGCGUGGAAUUCCCGGUGUAGCGGUGAAAUGCGUAGAGAUCGGGAGGAACACCUGUGGCGAAGGCGGCGCACUGGACCAUAACUGACGCUGAGGCGCGAAAGCGAGGGGAGCAAACAGG